rnacentral:lncRNA from 1 species
CUCUGCCUUUGCCUCUUUUAAAAAGUUCUAAGUUGCUGGCUAAUCAGGACAAAUACAGAAUGUGAGGUGCAGGGAGCUGAAGGCCCCUGGGAAGUGACCAACUCAGCAUUUCGCUGGAGGCUAUAGGAUCAAACAGCAAACUGUUUAUCAUGAAUGCAGGAUGUGGGCAAACUCACACUGCCCUGCCACCAAAAGGUUUGUUGAGGGCCUCACUCCCUGGCGCUGGGCUCCUUGAAGUUAUCUAUUGAGAAGUCUAGCACCUAAGAAUGCAGUCUUGCAAGCCUGCUGCGAAUCAAGCUGCUGGCCAACAACCACUCCCCACCUUCUCACUAUCUCUAUUGCCUAAUAAAUAUGGAGGGCAGUGUAAAGCUCAGGGCCCUUGUCCACUAGAGACAAGGUGCCCUCCGACCCCUUCUUCCAAAUAUACUCUUUUGCCUCUUGUCUUUUAUUCCCGUGUUUGCCCCCUUUGUUCAGUCCCCCUAGGUCCAUGCAGGUUACAUAGUGGUGCCCCAAACAGUGACACAAUUGGGUUCUCAACAAGUGGUGACUCAGAACAGGGACGCCAAGGAUGCCAACAAGUGGCGUCUGAACACGGGACUUCGACGAUGUGAACAAAAAAGAUCUGCUGGAGCAGAGAAGCUGAAAUUGACAAGGCAAACGGGGACCCCAGGAUGAGUCUGCCGGCAGCAUAUAUAAGGCAGGGACUAUAGGAAAUGAAGGUGAACUCGUGGAGAUUUUGGAGAGAAUUUAAUGAAGAGGCUGUUUACCAAGGAUCUCUCUCUGUCUCCGAGGCUGGAGUGCAAUGUUGCAAUCAGGGCUCACUGCAGCCUCGACCUCCUGGGCUCAACUGAUCUUCGUACCACAGCCUCAUGAGUAACUGGGACUACAGAUAGUAUCUCAUGAUAUGAAUGGUCCUGGAUUUACUUACACAUCCUCCUUUGGAUGAGCAAGACAACAACAUACCUGGACAGAAAUGCCUCGAGGAUGUACUGAAGGCCCCUCUCACUUUUCACAGCCAUAACUGUAAGUUUCCUGGGGCCUCUCCAGAAGACAAGCAGAUGCCGCUAUGCUUCCUGAACAGCCCACAGAACUAGAUGGGGUUUCACCAUGUUAGCCAGGAUGGUCUCGAUCUCCUGACCUCGUGAUCCACCCGCCUUGGCCUCCCAAAGUGCUGGGAUUACAGGUGUGAGCCACCGCGCCUCGCCAAUGGUCUUCUGGUUUUAGAAGAAGGUAAGAAUGAAACUUCUUUUAUCAUCAGCUUAACAUAAAGGUUGACAUUCUUAGAGAUAAUGGAGGAAGCUGAUACAAAAGAAAACCAGAAACUAAACCCAGAAUAUAAAAACAAUUCCAGACUCUUGGUAAGGGAGAAGCCUGCCCCACUGGAGAAUCAUAAAACAGAGAAUCCGCUAUACAAUUGAGGGUCAUAA